rnacentral:ncRNA from 1 species
CAAAAGUUUUAUUUUAGCUUAAAAUUAGGGUUAAACUUUGGAUUACAUGUAAGUUUAAGCAAGAAUUAGUGUUUUUUUAGAAAAAAAAUAGGUUGGAUUUUGUUCGCAGUGGUUAUUUUUAAAUAUUAAUAAGUUUUAGAUUUAGACAAGGUUUUUAGUAUUGACGAAGUUUGUGCCAGCAGUUGCGGUUAUACAGACAAUACGACUUUACUUUUUCAGUUAUAAUUAGGUUGGAUACUUGAUUGGAUAGUGAGUUUUAUUGGGUGAAACCUUAAUGCUCAUGACUUAAUUGUUAAGUUUUACUGAGGUUGUGAAAUUUUGUAUAUAAACUAGGAUUAGAUACCCUAUUAUUCAAAAUGUAAAAAUUUUACUGGAAUAUUAUUAGUUAUGGUCUUUAAAAUCAAAAAUUUUGGCGGUAUCUUAGUCUAUUCAGAGGAACCUGUCCUGUGAUCGAUGGUCCACGAUUUAUUUUACUUUUAUUUUAAAUUUGUAUAUCGUCGUAGUUUGAAUUUUCUAGAAGGAUUUAAAUAUUCAGGAUAAGGUAAUAACUUAAGAAAUCAGAUCAAGAUGCAGUUUAUAUAGAAGAAGAGAUGGGUUACGUUAAUGAUAUUUUGGGAUUUAUUCAUGAAAAGUUAGAUGAAUUUGGAUUUGAGGGUAAAUUUAAAAAGAUUUUUAAGUUGAUUUAGCUCUAAGAUAUGUACAUAUCGCCCGUCGCUUUCACUCCAAGGUGGAAUAAGUCGUAACAAAGUAGGCCUACCGGAAGGUGGGCCUAGAAUGG